GCGCGACAGCAGAUGGACCAGGAGGGAGGAGAAUGCUAAAAGGACGGAGGAGGGAGCAGGAGGAGGGGGAAGAGGGAUGACGGACACGCAGGGGUGACGUGUUUCCUGACAAUCGAGCAAAGGCAUCUCUGGGAAUCAGACCACUUAUUUGUUUUCAAGAAAAGAGAUCACAAUAUUAUCUGCGGACAUCAUGGUCCAAGGGGAAUCCAGUCCCACCCCAUCUGUCAUCCUAUCCAUUACCACAGCAAACAGGAAGGUGCUCAGAGUGGAUCCCUGAUGCAGUCCCACCUCAACCUUAAAUUCUUCUGUCACACCUGUGGCACAGCUCACGACUGUUGUGCUGCCCUCAUACAUGUCCCCUACUAGCCUAACAUAUUUCUCCGCCACACCAGACCUGCGCAUGCAGUACAACAGUUCCUCUCUUGGUACUCUGUCAAAGGCUUUCUCUAGAUCCACAAAGACACAAAUAGCGCCCUCUGAACUUCUUUGUACUUUUCAAUUAGUAUCCUCAAGGCAAUUACACCAUGUAUAUGCAGUACUGUAAUACAUACUUGUACCUCGUGUCUCAUUGUCUGUUUCCAGUUUGUCGUAACUUGUUGUCACGUUCCAGCCGCCCAUGUUGCAUGUCGUUGGCACAUUGUAAGCUUAGACCAUGCCUCAUUUCGUUUUCUUUUUUUUUCCUUUUUUUUAUUUUUACAUGCUCUAUUACUUCUUUCUCUUUUUUUUUUGAUACUGUUGGCUUUUUGGACUGCCUACCACUGUAGCGACCUCUGCUAGUAAUAAAAAUUCUCUUCUCAAACUGCCCCGUUUGUGAAGUCGCACAUCUGGGUCCCAUCCCAUGUUCUGCCCUUGACGCAACCCAUUUCUGCUGUUUCUC